AUACGGAGGAUCCGAGCGUUAUCCGGAUUUAUUGGGUUUAAAGGGAGCGUAGGUGGAUUGUUAAGUCAGUUGUGAAAGUUUGCGGCUCAACCGUAAAAUUGCAGUUGAAACUGGCAGUCUUGAGUACAGUAGAGGUGGGCGGAAUUCGUGGUGGAGCGGGGAAAUGCUUAGAUAUCACGAAGAACUCCGAUUGCGAAGGCAGCUCACUAGACUGUUACUGACACUGAUGCUCGAAAGUGUGGGUAUCAAACAGGAUUAGAUACCCUGGUAGUCCACACAGUAAACGAUGAAUACUCGCUGUUUGCGAUAUACAGUAAGCGGCCAAGCGAAAGCAUUAAGUAUUCCACCUGGGGAGUACGCCGGCAACGGUGAAACUUAAAGGAAUUGGCGGGG
rnacentral:rRNA from 1 species